rnacentral:rRNA from 1 species
GGACUACCCGGGUUUCUAAUCCUGUUUGCUCCCCGCACUUUCGCGCCUCAGCGUCAGUCAUCGGCUGGAAAUCCGCCUUCGCCACCGGUGUUCUUCCUGAUAUCUACAGAUUUCACCCCUACACCAGGAAUUCCGAUUCCCCCUCCGUGACUCAAGUUAUGCAGUUUCCAACGCAGUUCACGGGUUAAGCCCGUGUAUUUCACGUCAGACUUGCGUAACCGCCUACGCGCCCUUUACGCCCAAUAAUUCCGAACAACGCUCGCCCCUUACGUGUUACCGCGGCUGCUGGCAC